UAGGAAUUUAGGUUAAAUAGACCAAGAGCCUUCAAAGCCCUAAGUAAGUAACAGUAUACUUAAUUCCUG
rnacentral:tRNA from 1 species